GAAAAGUAGCGCGCUCAGACCAGCUCGCUCACUCUUUUCCUCUUCCAUUUUUUAGGGCAAUUGUUUUGUUUGAUAGACGAAGCUUAGGGUCUCUUUGGGUUUGCAACCCUUACCCUCCUGGAAAAAAUCAUAGUUGCUAGACUGCGACACUUCAGACCAGGUACUAUUAGAGCCGCUAAUGGACGACGAGCUAUUUUCCGCUAUCCGGAGCUCAAGCAUUUGAGCCGCUAAAUGGACGAGACUCCUGGGGUAAAGGAUGCAGGGAGUAGGUAUUGUACUACUUCCUGGUAUGGAGCACUGAGAAGCGCUUGGUGACAUCGUCCAAGAUCGACAGGGAUGGCGGGUCACCUGCCGUGACGCUGUCGACGCUAUUGUCCAGUCCCGCAUGGAGCCUGUGGCGAAGCCCCUCAUUUGUGGCACAGGAUAUUGCGACGCACAAGUGUAACGCUGUUCGCACGGCCCGCGCGCGCUGAGUACGGCGUUCCCCGCCCGGUGGACAACACGUCUCCUGGUCUGCCCCGUAUGGGGCCACAUAGCCAGUCAUGGCAGUGGAAGAAGGAAGGAAGGAAGCUUUCACCGUCCAGGAGCGACACUGACUCGCACUGCUAUCUGGUGCUCACGAGGUGCUUGUCGCGCUGCAAACGGAGCGUCUCUCAUUAGGCGAUUUGAUCGCAGGACGAGAGAGGAGCUGAUGGACGAUCUCUCCAAUGUUCCUCUUGGUUCGGAGCGGCGCCGAGUGCUGACGUUGGGACUUGGCACCGCUAGCUAAACCGACCAACGGCUACUCCCAGGGCACAAACUAUUCUGCUGGAGGCAGCGUCGUCUUCGGCUGAAAUUCCGGAUACAACCUGCAGGGAAGCAUUGUGCGCAUCUGCCAGAUUGACGGUUCCUGGAGUGGGGCAGCUGCCUCGUGUAAUCCCAUUCAACUGCAGUGCCAGUCUGGCUACCUGCCCUGCCUGCGUUCCAGUGGCUGUAUCCUGCCAUCACAGCGCUGCGACGGUGUUUGGUACGACUGUGCUGAUGGCUCUGAUGCACAGUACUGCCCAGGCAAGGUCACACCAGCUCCAGGUCAAACCGACUGCCAGGUCCUGUCACCACCGGCACUGGGCUCAAUGACCGUGAACGGCUUGAUGUUCAGCAACACGACCACGUUUGUGUGCACAUCUCCCUAUGUCCUUAUGGGCUCGGCCGUGCGUACUUGUGAAAUCUACGGCCAGUGGAGCGGUGUGCAGCCAGCUUGCGUCCUGACGACUGCUGCUCUGAGUGCGGCCAGUGACGAGCUAGUCAAGGACUCCGUCUCAGAACGCAUGACACAAACGUGUUAGCUCCCGCUCCAUGCCCAUUGUUGGAGCGACAGUCCUGGAAUCCAGAGUUGCAAGUGAGGUGGUGAUACGGCAAGAAGACGGUGGCAAAGUACGGCUUAAAAGCUCUACAUCUAGCAAGUGGCCGGCAUACCACCCCAAUGGACAUCGGAACAGUACACGUAGAGUAGCAUCUCUACGUGACAGGGUAUGAGCGCAAGCCAGUAUUGCCAAGCACUGGGGACCUUUGGCAAUCUGAAUGUUUUGUCCGAGAAUCGAUCCUUGGAUCUGUGGCGUUGCAGUUGUGGUGCUCCCGACCCUCUUGCGCGAUGGCCGCGGAGACUUGGCGAAAAGGUUCGAGAUAUACGGCAUCUCAAUAUCUUCCACCACAAUCAGUACAUCAGCACCACCAUCGAGUGUAGCGACAUCAGCAAUAGAAGACACACAUGAUAUCAUUCACCCUUACGGCCUUAGCGAAGACCCGGGAAUACCUGAGAAGAUGUUAGCCGCAACUUUACUGGAAAAGUCGUCGGUGACAACGGCACUCCAUAUUUUAGCUGCAUGCAGUUAGGUCUCUCAACAAGUGUACCCAAAGUUUUCAAGCUAAUACACAAGCAAAUUCACUAGGGGCCGAGUAUAUUUUCCUACACCUCUCCCUGUUUGUUGUUGUUUUUUCUGCAUUCAAAUUGUUUGUGUACCUGUACAUUUAUUACAGUAGAGCCACGUAUCCACGGCUGUUGUUUCCAAGGUCAGGCUCGUCAGUUAUACAAACCUUUCAGCAAUCUGGCCUUAGGCUUAGUUCCUUGACUUCUUGUACCACCUUAGAUGCACAUCCCACUGGAUAGUGAGCAAUACGUGUGUAGCAGAAUCUGUAUUCCAGAAAAGCAGAGACUUGAGUCUAUUGACACUGCGUUUCGUUUUAAAACGUUAUUGGCUGUGGUGUUCCUAGAGGUAUACUAUACACGUACAUUCCUGGGUCCCACGUUCUGUGACGCCCGACUGUAUUCGUGGUGCCUCAACAACUUUUAAUUUUGUGCACUCGGGAAAACCUGCCUGAGGCUGUGAGGCUGCAGAGUGUUGGCUGUGUUUUGCUUUAAAAAACCAUCAGGUCUCCCCAGA